rnacentral:rRNA from 2 species
CACUGGAACCUUGAGUUCCCUGAAGGGCCGUCGAAGACUACGACGUUGAUAGGUUGGGUGUGUAAGCGCUGUGAGGCGUUGAGCUAACCAAUACUAAUUGCCCGUGAGGCUUGACCAUAUAACACCCAAGCAAUU